rnacentral:tRNA from 1 species
AGGGGAGUGGCAGAAAGAAAAUGUGUUUGACUUGAAAUCAAUGGAUGAAGGUUAGAUUCCUUCCUCCUCUU